GUGCUUGCUUUGGCAGCACAUAUACUAAAAUUGGAACAAUACAAGAAAGAUUAGCAUGGCCCCUGUGCAAGGAUGACACUGAAAUUUGAGGCGUUCCAUUAUUUU
rnacentral:snRNA from 1 species